rnacentral:rRNA from 1 species
AGGAUCCUGGCUCAGGAUGAACGCUAGCGGCAGGCUUAAUACAUGCAAGUCGUGGGGCAGCAGCUUUGUAGCAAUACAGAGGCUGGCGACCGGCAAACGGGUGCGGAACACGUACGCAAUCUACCCAAAACUGGUGAAUAGCCCUCCGAAAGGAGGAUUAAUACACCGUAACCUAUUGAAGUGGCAUCACUUUAUUAGUAUAGCUCCGGCGGUUUUGGAUGAGCGUGCGGCUGAUUAGAUAGUUGGCGGGGUAACGGCCCACCAAGUCUGCGAUCAGUAACUGGUGUGAGAGCACGACCAGUCACACGGGCACUGAGACACGGGCCCGACUCCUACGGGAGGCAGCAGUAAGGAAUAUUGGUCAAUGGACGCAAGUCUGAACCAGCCAUGCCAGCGUGAACGGAUGAAGGUCCUCUGGAUUGUAAACUUCUUUUAUAGAGGGACGAAACCUCUUUAUUCUAAAGAGACUGACGGUACCCUAGGAAUAAGCACCGGACUAACUCCGUGACCAGCAGACCGCGGUAAUACGGAGGGUGCAAGCGUUAUCCGGAUUCACUGGGUUUAAAAGGGUGCGUAGGAAGGCANGUAAGUCAAUGGUGAAAUCUCCAAGGCUUAACUUGAGAAACUGCCGUNCGAUAACUA